GACGAACGCUGGCGGCGUGCUUAACACAUGCAAGUCGAACGGUGAAGGGGUCUGCUUUUGUGGGCCCUGGAUGAGUGGCGAACGGGUGAGUAACACGUGAGUAACCUGCCCCCUUCUUCUGGAUAACCGCAUGAAAGUGUGGCUAAUACGGGAUAUUCUGGGUCUGUCGCAUGAUGGGUCUGGGAAAGAUUGCGCCUUUGGGUGUUUUUGGUGGGGGAUGGGCUCGCGGCCUAUCAGCUUGUUGGUGGGGUGAUGGCCUACCAAGGUGGUGACGGGGAGCCGGCCUGAGAGGGGGGAAGGUCAGAAUGGGACUGAGACACGGCCCAGACUGCUACGGGAGGCAGCAGUGGGGAAUAUUGCACAAUGGGCGCAAGCCUGAUGCAGCGACGCCGCGUGAGGGAGGGAGGCCUUCGGGUUGUAAACCUCUUUCGCCAGUGAAGCAGGCCUGCUCCUUGUGGGUGGGUUGACGGUAGCUGGAUAAGAAGCGCCGGCUAACUACGUG
rnacentral:rRNA from 1 species